AUACAGAGGGUGCGAGCGUUAAUCGGAAUUACUGGGCGUAAAGCGCGCGUAGGCGGUUUGUUAAGUCGGAUGUGAAAGCCCCGGGCUCAACCUGGGAACUGCAUUCGAAACUGGCAGGCUAGAGUAUGGUAGAGGGAAGUGGAAUUCCGGGUGUAGCGGUGAAAUGCGUAGAUAUCCGGAGGAACAUCAGUGGCGAAGGCGGCUUCCUGGACCAAUACUGACGCUGAGGUGCGAAAGCGUGGGGAGCAAACAGGAUUAGAUACCCCAGUAGUCC
rnacentral:rRNA from 1 species